rnacentral:piRNA from 1 species
UAUAUUCCUUGUCUCGGGUCGACGGAAUCU